AAUCUACCUUUGAGUGGGGAAUAACCUUGGGAAACCGAGGCUAAAACCGCAUAUGACCACGGUCCGGAAUCGGACUGUGGUAAAAGACGGGGACCGUAAGGCCUGUCGCUCGGAGAUGAGCUCGCGUCCUAUCAGCUUGUUGGCGGGGUAAUGGCCCACCAAGGCUUUUGACGGGUAGCUGGUCUGAGAGGAUGGUCAGCCACAUUGGGACUGAGACACUGCCCAGACUCCUACGGGAGGCUGCAGUCGAGAAUCUUUUGCAAUGCUCGAAAGAGUGACAAUGCGACGCCGCGUGUGCGAUGAAGGUCUUCGGAUCGUAAAGCACUGUCAGUCGGGGGGAAGGUCUUCUCCUUUAAUAAAGGGGAAGGCUUGACAGUACCGGCAGAGGAAGCCACGGCUAACUCCGUGCCAGCAGCCGCGGUAAUACGGAGGUGGCAGGCGUUACUCGGAUUGAUUGGGUGUAAAGGGCGUGUAGGUGGUGAAUUAAGU
rnacentral:rRNA from 1 species